rnacentral:piRNA from 1 species
UGAACUUUUUUAAAAGGGUCU